UAAAAAAUCCAUUAGAGGAAUAGACAUUUCCCCUAGAGAGAACAAUGGUGCUAGCUUCUUCUUCUUCUUCUACACAUAAACACACACACUCAAAAAUGCACAAAAAGGAGAGGAAAAGAACGAGAAGAUAGGGAAGGGAGAAAUAGGGGCUCUGAUCGCUCACUCAUUCUCAUUUUGUUUUUUUUUGAGAGGAAAAACGACAUCCACCUCUGAUCUUCAUUUCUUGAGCAAUCAAAGUUGUUUUUGAGCUUUCCGGCGUCGGCACCGGAGUUUUGUCAUCUUCGACUAGCUAUCUCUUACCACAAAACGCAGCAACUUUACCUUCGUUCACUGCUACCAUUCUCAUGAGUUGAAUUUCAGUACGUCAAGUUAAUUUCUAGGAUCCAAGGGAACUUAUAACUCGAGACCAAAGCUGUGUAUUGAUUUCUGCUGUUGAAUCGACUAUUUGGUGGCUGAACUCAGACCAUUAUUUUGGUCCGUUUCUUUGCGGUUGUCCUACUUUUAGGUUGUCAUUCUGAGCUGGAAAUUUCUGUGUCUACUGAUGCUGAAUUUAGCCCUCAAGGUGUUGCUGAAGUUAUGAGUUUUGAGCAGCAAUUGAAUAACAAACCUACACCAGCUUGUUCGAGUCUUAGAAUUCUGCAUUUAAUUGAAAUUUGUUGAUGUAAUACAAGUUCCCUAGGCACUAUUUUUAUUUUUCUGCAACAUUUUGUGAACCUGAAAUUGGGUUUGGACAUUAGAGCUUGUUUGAAGAAUUUUGAACUCAAAUAGGAGUGUUUUGGACUGCUAUUGGAAGAUGUUGAAACAGCCUUAAAACUCUGCAGUUUUGUGUCCAGUUAAGCUGCUGAAAAUUCUGCAGUAGCUUAGUAAAGUUUGAGCAACAGUUUGGGUUGUGAAUUGACCAGCUCUAAGCUGCAGUUGUAAAGGGUCAAUUACUGCCAACUUGUACCAAUUUUCUAUCUAUUCUUCCUUUGUUUGGAUUGCUGAAAAUCUUCAAUUUUGUGAUAA